rnacentral:rRNA from 1 species
UGGCGGCGUGCUUAACACAUGCAAGUCGAACGGUGAACACGGAGCUUGCUCUGUGGGAUCAGUGGCGAACGGGUGAGUAACACGUGAGCAACCUACCCCUGACUCUGGGAUAAGCACUGGAAACGGUGUCUAAUACCGGAUACGAGUAGCGAAGGCAUCUUCAGCUACUGGAAAGAACUAUCGGUCUGGGAUGGGCUCGCGGCCUAUCAGCUUGUUGGUGAGGUAAUGGCUCACCAAGGCGUCGACGGGUAGCCGGCCUGAGAGGGUGACCGGCCACACUGGGACUGAGACACGGCCCAGACUCCUACGGGAGGCAGCAGUGGGGAAUAUUGCACAAUGGGCGCAAGCCUGAUGCAGCAACGCCGCGUGAGGGACGACGGCCUUCGGGUUGUAAACCUCUUUUAGCAGGGAAGAAGCGUAAGUGACGGUACCUGCAG